UACGUAGGGGGCUAGCGUUGUCCGGAAUCAUUGGGCGUAAAGAGCGUGUAGGCGGUUCGGUAAGUCCGCUGUGAAAGUCGGGGGCUCAACCCUCGAAUGCCGGUGGAUACUGUCGGGCUAGAGUGCGGAAGAGGCGAGUGGAAUUCCUGGUGUAGCGGUGAAAUGCGCAGAUAUCAGGAGGAACACCGAUUGCGAAGGCAGCUCGCUGGGACGUUACUGACGCUGAGACGCGAAAGCGUGGGGAGCAAACAGG
rnacentral:rRNA from 1 species